UGCCAGCCGCCGCGGUAAUACGGAGGGUGCGAGCGUUAAUCGGAAUUACUGGGCGUAAAGCGCGCGUAGGCGGCUUCGUCAGUCAGAUGUGAAAGCCCCGGGCUCAACCUGGGAACUGCAUUUGAUACUGCGGAGCUAGAGUAUGGUAGAGGAUAGUGGAAUUCCAGGUGUAGCGGUGAAAUGCGUAGAUAUUCGGAGGAACACCAAUUGCGAAGGCAGUUCACUGGACCGUGAUCGACGCUGAGGAGCGAAAGCUAGGGGAGCAAACAGGAUUAGAUA
rnacentral:rRNA from 1 species